UACGUAGGGUGCAAGCGUUGUCCGGAAUUAUUGGGCGUAAAGAGCUCGUAGGCGGUUUGUUGCGUCGGCUGUGAAAUCCCGAGGCUCAACCUCGGGUCUGCAGUCGAUACGAGCAAACUAGAGUGUUGCAGGGGAGACUGGAAUUCCUGGUGUAGCGGUGAAAUGCGCAGAUAUCAGGAGGAACACCGGUGGCGAAGGCGGGUCUCUGGGCAACAACUGACGCUGGAGGCGCGAAAGCGUGGGGAGCGAUCCGG
rnacentral:rRNA from 1 species